UUUUGUUUCAGUAACUCUGAAUUCGUCCGCAUGAAACCUGGAGCAGCGUCCAAACCCUAACCACUUCUCGUCAGCACUUCGCUUUUCAAUUUAUCUAGCUUCCUAUGAAUCGUUCUCCCUCCAACUAGCGGCGGCGAACGGCAACUCCGGUCGGCGUCAGGGAAUAGUCUCUUUUUCGCGUGGAUCUCCAUCGCCAGUGUGCUCUCAUGUUGAUGCUCUUUCAGCUUAUGACCGCUGUUUGUCUAUGAUCUUCAUGUGCCACUCGUCGAGGAGCACAGAUGCAGGCAGCUGUGAGACGACUCGCCCUCUCUUCUUCCCAAGCCUCCUCUUUCUCUUCCUCGAAAAGGGUUUCCAUCGGCUCAUCUAGUGCAUUAAACCAGACAAGUCCCACUAGUCAGGAAAAAUCAUCUGCUGCAUCAGUUCCUUCUAUUUCCUGUAAAUCACAAAGAGGAAGGAGGAUAUCUAAAGAAGAAAGGCGUGCUCUAGUGGAGUCUUUCGUUGGAAAGUAUAGAGCCCAGAAUGCUGGAAUUUUUCCUUCUGUUUCAAAGGUCCAAAUGGAGGUUGGUGGGUCUUAUUAUGUAAUCCGAGAGAUGGUUCAAGAAUUGGAGUAUAAUGCUAAGUUGGCUUCUUUCAACAAAGUGAUUAGGCAGCCAGGAAAAUUAGAAGGCAGUGCUCAAAUUUCAGAUGCAGCAAUGUCAUCUGCGAUUGUCGCAGAUGAAAUAUUGAAAUCAAGUACUAUGAUCAAAGACGAGCCAUCAGUGGUUAUUGAAGCAGAUGCUUCGCAGAUUCCUCCAGGAGAGCCUGUAGGCUGCCAAACAGAGAUUAGCACUAUUGAGGAAAAUGUUCUGGAUGAGCCAUCAGUGGUUAUUGAAGCAGAUGCUUCGCAGAUUCCUCCAGAAGAGCCUGUAGGCUGCCAAACAGAGAUUAGCACUAUUGAGGACGAUGUCCUGGACGAGCCAUCAGUGGUUAUUGAAGCAGAUGCUUCGCAGAUUCCUCCAGGAGAGCCUGUAGGCUGCGAAACAGAGAUUAACACUAUUGACUCUUCAGCAGACGUACCUGACCAAAAAGUAGUUAAACAUGCAAGGUCCAAUACAACUCUGGGGACAUAUAUGGAGGAUUCGCAACCUAUUGAAAACAUCAGGAGUUCAAAUCUUGGAGAUUCACCAAGGGCAACAAACUUAUGGAGCAACUUGAGAUCAUUGGCAGAAGGGAUCUUUAGCUUUUGGAAGAAAAAGUAGGUCUUCAUCUGCUGCUUGACAAAAAAGUAGAUCUUCAUUUGCUGCUCGACAGAUAGCUAUGCAGGAUUCAGUUGCCUUUUAUCGUGGCUCAAUGUCUAUUUAGCUUCUCCUGGAGGGUUGCUAUUUUGUUUUGCUUAGUUUCUUGAAAAUAAUUUCUCCAACAAUCAUGGAUUAACCGACGACUCAUGAUUAAUCGAAGCGAGUUGCAUAAUUUCAGUCUUAUUUUUUGAGAGAAAGGAGGGUGCAAAAGUUGGAUAGUUUGUUUUGGAUAGUCAACUGCCGGUGUCUAUUUGUUCGUGAAUCUCGAUCAACUAUGAAGCAUAAUCUCGUGAGGGAUUUCCAUCUUCAGGAGGUAUGAAUGCAAGCUCACUGCCAUCUUCUGCAGUUGUGGAAUAUGUUUCGAUGUUUUAGUAUCUUAUGUCUCAGUGAAGGCAUAAGAUAUCAAUUUGAACUUGGGAAAGAAUUUGAAUUCGAAUUGUUUGUUUGUGGUUGAUUUUCCUUAAAUUUAAAAUGUUCGAUGUAAAAUUGUGGAGUUAAUAGAAUCGUUAUGAGUAGGGUGCAAAUGAAUG